GCCCUGGUGGUGCAGUGGUUAAGCACUUGGCUGCUAACCAAAAGGUUGCUGGUUCAAACCCAACCAGCAGCU
rnacentral:tRNA from 1 species